CUUUCAAUUAGAAUUUGGAAAAGCAAAUUGUACCUUCGGUUUGUUUCCAGACGUGCAUUUACUGUGCAGGCAUCUCACCAACCCAUUAAUAGAAGCAGGCCGGACGGAAGCAGCAAUCCAUUACUCAAGGAGAAGAGAGAGCAUGCGAAGACAAUGAGCUUCUGGAGAAGGAAGAAACAGCCUCCAAGGAAACAGUCAUAAAACACGAGAGGCCGCCCUUCAAUUGGUUGAAAGCACCGGGCAUGCGACACGCGUGGCCGGAUCACCGCUCCGAGGAAAUUUCCAUGGAUAGAGAGGUAUCGACGACGUCAAAAGGCCACGCAUUUUGA